rnacentral:rRNA from 1 species
UACGUAGGGGGCUAGCGUUGUCCGGAUUUAUUGGGCGUAAAGAGCGUGUAGGCGGCCAGGUAGGUCUGCUGUGAAAACUCGAGGCUCAACCUCGAGACGUCGGCGGAAACCAUCUGGCUAGGAGUCCGGAAGAGGAGAGUGGAAUUCCUGGUGUAGCGGUGGAAAUGCGUAGGAGAUCAGGAGGAACACCCCGUGGGCGGAAGGCGGCUCCCUGGUCCGUCCCUGACGCUGAGACGGCGAAAAGCGCGGGGAGCGAACGGG